AACCGCACCGGUGGCCUAAUGGUUAGAGCGUCCGCCUAGAAUGCGGGAGGUCGCUGGUUCGAAACCUGGUUGAGUUA